rnacentral:rRNA from 1 species
CCUACGGGGGGCUGCAGUGGGGAAUAUUGGACAAUGGGCGAAAGCCUGAUCCAGCCAUGCCGCGUGUGUGAAGAAGGCCUUCGGGUUGUAAAGCACUUUCAGUGGGGAAGAAAGCCUUGGGGCUAAUACCCUCGAGGAAGGACAUCACCCACAGAAGAAGCACCGGCUAACUCCGUGCCAGCAGCCGCGGUAAUACGGAGGGUGCGAGCGUUAAUCGGAAUUACUGGGCGUAAAGCGCGCGUAGGCGGUCUGAUAAGCCGGUUGUGAAAGCCCCGGGCUCAACCUGGGAACGGCAUCCGGAACUGUCAGGCUAGAGUGCAGGAGAGGAAGGUAGAAGUCCCGGUGUAGCGGUGAAAUGCGUAGAGAUCGGGAGGAAUACCAGUGGCGAAGGCGGCCUUCUGGACUGACACUGACGCUGAGGUGCGAAAGCGUGGGUAGCAAACAGGAUUAGAUACCCUUGUAGUC